ACACUUACCUAGCAAUGGGGACACCUUGUUUAUAAAGGAGGUUUUCCCAGGGUGAAGUUCAUUAAUUGCACUGUGGGCGUGUUCACCCCUGUGAUUUCCCCAAAUGUGGGAAACUUGACUGCAUAAUUUGUAGUUAUGCAGAUUUGUUGCAGGUUGUU